GAGGUAUUGGGGUUAGGAUCCUGACCUACGACCUUGAAGAGGCACAGUUAAGACCUUUACCCUAGUUACAGCAAUAAGCCCACCUCUGCCUGAGAGGCCAGUACAUCAGGGCUCUCCCUGUCCGACAUCACCCGACCCGUAACAGUCCACAGACUCUUCUGGAGAGGACUGGAGCUCAAGCAAGGUCAGCCUACCCCACUGGACCGGAGUCUGCAGGAGAGGAAGAUAGCAUCUGCUUGCCGUGGAGUCUCCAAGACUGGCACUGUGCCUGGCCUUUGGAUUCCUAUAAAACAAAGAACCAAACAGCAGGAUGCCCAGGUCUCCUGAGCCCAGCCCUGCUUUCCUGGGGUUUGAAAUGUUCUUCAUCUGCACAGUGA
rnacentral:lncRNA from 1 species